CCUACGGGAGGCUGCAGUGGGGAAUAUUGGACAAUGGGGGGAACCCUGAUCCAGCCAUGCCGCGUGUGUGAAGAAGGCCCUCGGGUUGUAAAGCACUUUCAGUGAGGAAGAACGCCUGGUGGUUAAUACCCAUCAGGAAAGACAUCACUCACAGAAGAAGCACCGGCUAACUCCGUGCCAGCAGCCGCGGUAAUACGGAGGGUGCGAGCGUUAAUCGGAAUUACUGGGCGUAAAGCGCGCGUAGGUGGCUUGAUAAGCCGGUUGUGAAAGCCCCGGGCUCAACCUGGGAACGGCAUCCGGAACUGUCAUGCUAGAGUGCAGGAGAGGAAGGUAGAAUUCCCGGUGUAGCGGUGAAAUGCGUAGAGAUCGGGAGGAAUACCAGUGGCGAAGGCGGCCUUCUGGACUGACACUGACACUGAGGUGCGAAAGCGUGGGUAGCAAACAGGAUUAGAUACCCCAGUAGUC
rnacentral:rRNA from 1 species